UAUGGCUGGUGCUGGCGUUCGGCUUAGCAAUCUGGACAAAUUUAUUGCGCAGGGCGUGAAAGAGCUUCACAGCUCGGCGGGCAAACAAGUCCCGUCCGCCAUGCGUUACCGCAAUCCGGGAGUCUCGAUGUCUGCCGAUGCAGACGCCGAUGAAUAUUCCCGCUAUUGCGUGGACGGUGAAGCCGUCGCCGCCAUGAAAGCGGCACUGGCAACCGCCUCGUAAUGUGAACCGUUUUUUUACCGCACAUCAUGUCGCCCAAUAUGAUGUUUGCUCGUACCAGGCCCCGGCAUUUUGCUGGGGCUUUUUUUA
rnacentral:ncRNA from 1 species